CCUACGGGAGGCAGCAGUGGGGAAUAUUGGGCAAUGGAGGCAACUCUGACCCAGCAACGCCGCGUGAAUGAUGAAGGUCUUCGGAUUGUAAAGUUCUGUGAUGGGGGAUGAACACAAUGACGGUACCCCAAUAGCAAGCCACGGCUAACUACGUGCCAGCAGCCGCGGUAAUACGGAGGUGGCAAGCGUUAUCCGGAAUGACUGGGCGUAAAGGGUGCGUAGGUGGUUUAGUAAGUUGGCGGUGAAAUUCCGGGGCUCAACCUCGGCGCUACCGCGAGAACUAUUAGACUAGAGUGCAGGGAGGGUAAGUGGAAUUCCUAGUGUAGCGGUGGAAUGCGUAGAUAUUAGGAGGAACAUCAGGGGCGAAGGCGACUUACUGGACUGUAACUGACACUGAGGCACGAAAGCGUGGGGAGCGAACAGGAUUAGAUACCCCUGUAGUC
rnacentral:rRNA from 1 species